CAAUCUUAAAAGUCUUUCUAUUUUUCCAAUUUUCUAAAGUUUUUAAAAGCCUUUUCUUUAUAAGAUAUGCAUCCGUCAAAUGUAUACGUACAUCCUGGUCCAGUAGAGCAUGAUGUAUUAAAAAUUCAAGUUCAUCAUCGUUCUGAAGGAAUUUGGAAUGGUAGCAUAAAAGAAAAGAGGUCUUGCUUAUAUACGCGUCGUGGUGAUAUUGAAUUUUGGCAACAUAUUAAAUAUCAUCCAUUACAUUCUCGCAUCCGUCAAUAUUUUGAAAAUUGUAGAUAUAAAGGAAUUAUUGAUGUAGGAGUCGUAUGACUCUGGAUUAAUUUCUGCUUUAAUGGAAAAAUGGCGUCUAGAAAAUCAUACUUUUCACAUGCGAACUGGCGAGACUACCAUAACUUUACAAGAUAUUAAAAUUUUAUUUAGAAUGGUAGUAGAUGGUAGUCCUAUAAUUUUAAAUGGAGAUGAUUCUUUAGGGAUUAUCAGUAGACAAGAAAUGAUAUUUGAAUUAACAGGAUGGUUACCCGAUACUAGUUGUUUUUCUGGUGUUAGUAGAUUGUUAACAUAUAAAUUGAUUGAUUAUAUUGAAGGUUUGGAUGGUAUUAAUGAUCACUGAACUGAGCAUGAAGUGCAACAAAGAUUUAAAUUAUAUUUAUUAUGGUUAUAUGGUGGAUCAAUAUUUUCGAAUAAAUCUAUUAAUAAUAUUAAUUUGGACAUUUUGAUUGACAUGAGAAAUUUAGAUUUAAUGUCAACUCAAGCAUGGGGACCAGUCACAUUAUCAUAUUUAUAUAAUUGUUUAUGUCGUGCAUCAAUGAAAAAAUCAAAUGAAGUUUGUGGAUUUCUCUCUUUAGUGCAGGUAUACAUAUUUUUUAAUUAAAUAUUUUUUAUAUACUAGUAAUAUGCACUUUUAAAUUUAAGUGCAUUAUAAGUAAUGGUGAAUUUAUUUAUUGUAGAUUUGGGCAUGGGAAAGAAUUAUUCCCCUGCAACCAUUGUCAAAGCCUCUAAGGACCAAUCAACUUGAGGCUUCAACUGCGCUUGCACGUAAAUGGACGCGACGUAGAAAUCAUCAAAAUGAGGCACGAACUGUAAUCGGUGUGAUUAGGGAUGUACUAGAUAAUCUAACUGAUGAACAGUUUAUUUGGCAACCUUAUUCGGAAGAUGUUAUUAAUGGAUUGCCUGAGUGGUGUCGGUCGAGACAACGUGUCUGGAUGGCACAGGUGCCACUGAUUUAUGGAAUUUAUCGUGGGUGGCACAUGGUUGUUCGUGUUGUGAGACAGUUCGGUUAUUUACAACAUAUUCCUGGACCAUGUACCCAAUUUUUUGAAUAUCAUUUUAAGCGUGAUAAACGAUCCAAAAUAAAACAAGAAGAUAUAGAUGAAUUUAACUACACACAAUAUUUAUGGGAACAACGUCAAAAUCGUAUAUUUCGACCUCCAUUUGUAAGUGAUCAAACAGAUUACUUUCGUUGGUACAUGAGGCAUAUCCUCAUGGUCAUUGUAAAUUCACAACAUGUUGUAAAAAAAGGGUAUCAACACAGGGCAGGAAGACAUGAGACAUUAGUAUGUAUAUUAUGUAAAUUUUAAAUUAUUAUGUCAAUCUUUAAUAAUUUUUUGUUAUUAAUAUUUGUUUAUUCAUUAUAAGCUAGGGGUCAUGAAAUUCAGUAUCAUCGAGCUCGGAUGAUUGAAAAUGAUGAAAAUCAAUCUAAUGAAAUGAGACAAUAUGCAGAGGAAGUUGCUCGUAUUUCAAUGGAGUCAAUGAAUGCGGCCUUCCAGGGAACGCGAUUGAGCUUUGAUCCUGAUUACAAUCCUCCCACUCAAUACAAUGAACCACCACCAGUACAAGUAUCUCGCCGAUCACGACAAACAACACCGAGAGAGGGUGCACGUUGAGGUAGAAAGACCGCUGGUGAAACAGUUGAUUUUUCUGCAGGGCCCUCUAAUACUAAUGUGACGACUCCGAGCCUUAUAAUCCCAUGUUUAAUUUUUCUAUAGGGCCCUCUAACACUAAUGUUAAUUUUUCUAGUCAGCAAUCAGUUGAUUUUGUAACUCCACAGGUUCCAAUAUCUGGUUUUGCGCAAUUUAUUGGAUCUCAAUAUGAUAUUCAACAUGAUAUGCGUAAAUUUCCUAUAUAAAUAAUUCUCCAUUUGGUGAAAGAUUUGUGGAUACUGAUUAUUGACUCCUUAGGUUAAAAUUUUUUGUAGAAACCUUAUUUGUUUAAUCUACGUGAAACCUGUAGACAUCUGAAAAAUUCCAAGUGACCAACUUCAGGAUCAUGAUGGGAAUUGUUAAAGGGGUAAGGAAAUUAGUGUUAAAUUCAUGUAUGUGCAUAUGGUGUUACAUGAGUUGGUUUUAUGGAUCGGAAAAUUGAAUUUUUGAAUGAAAGUAGGGGUGGGAAUUAUUUAAUUACAUGGAUGGUUGUUAGGGGAUUAAAGAAAUUAUAUAUGAAACGAAAAGGUGUAGUGAUAAUAUGCAUGCAAUUGGUUCAGUGAUUGGUUGAUAUUUUGGAUAAAAAUGUGAGGAAGUUAAAUAUUAAAUCAUGAUGAGAUAUGAUUGGUCAAAGGCAAUAGAAUAUUUGGAAAAUA